rnacentral:pre_miRNA from 9 species
UCUCCAUAGCGUAAAAGUUAGCUCACAUUUGUAUGGAAAGGGAUCGUUUGCCUACGUUUGCCGCUAGGGGCGCUGUUCCAACUGCAUACAAAAUUGGGCUAACUUUUACGCUAUCGA